rnacentral:rRNA from 1 species
UGGGGAAUAUUGCACAAUGGGCGCAAGCCUUAUGCAGCCAUGCCGCGUGUAUGAAGAAGGCCUUCGGGUUGUAAAGUACUUUCAGCGGGGAGGAAGGGAGUAAAGUUAAUACCUUUGCUCAUUGACGUUACCCGCAGAAGAAGCACCGGCUAACUCCGUGCCAGCAGCCGCGGUAAUACGGAGGGUGCAAGCGUUAAUCGGAAUUACUGGGCGUAAAGCGCACGCAGGCGGUUUGUUAAGUCAGAUGUGAAAUCCCCGGGCUCAACCUGGGAACUGCAUCUGAUACUGGCAAGCUUGGGUCUCGUAGAGGGGGGUAGAAUUCCAGGUGUAGCGGUGAAAUGCGUAGAGAUCUGGAGGAAUACCGGUGGCGAAGGCGGCCCCCUGGACGAAGACUGACGCUCAGGUGCGAAAGCGUGGGGGGCAAACAGG